ACCGGGCGGGUGCCUAUACAUGCAAGUCGAGCGAACGGACGAGAAGCUUGCUUCUCUGAUGUUAGCGGCGGACGGGUGAGUAACACGUGGAUAACCUACCUAUAAGACUGGGAUAACUUCGGGAAACCGGAGCUAAUACCGGAUAAUAUUUUGAACCGCAUGGUUCAAAAGUGAAAGACGGUCUUGCUGUCACUUAUAGAUGGAUCCGCGCUGCAUUAGCUAGUUGGUAAGGUAACGGCUUACCAAGGCAACGAUGCAUAGCCGACCUGAGAGGGUGAUCGGCCACACUGGAACUGAGACACGGUCCAGACUCCUACGGGAGGCAGCAGUAGGGAAUCUUCCGCAAUGGGCGAAAGCCUGACGGAGCAACGCCGCGUGAGUGAUGAAGGUCUUCGGAUCGUAAAACUCUGUUAUUAGGGAAGAACAUAUGUGUAAGUAACUGUGCACAUCUUGACGGUACCUAAUCAGAAAGCCACGGCUAACUACGUGCCAGCAGCCGCGGUAAUACGUAGGUGGCAAGCGUUAUCCGGAAUUAUUGGGCGUAAAGCGCGCGUAGGCGGUUUUUUAAGUCUGAUGUGAAAGCCCACGGCUCAACCGUGGAGGGUCAUUGGAAACUGGAAAACUUGAGUGCAGAAGAGGAAAGUGGAAUUCCAUGUGUAGCGGUGAAAUGCGCAGAGAUAUGGAGGAACACCAGUGGCGAAGGCGACUUUCUGGUCUGUAACUGACGCUGAUGUGCGAAAGCGUGGGGAUCAAACAGGAUUAGAUACCCUGGUAGUCCACGCCGUAAACGAUGAGUGCUAAGUGUUAGGGGGUUUCCGCCCCUUAGUGCUGCAGCUAACGCAUUAAGCACUCCGCCUGGGGAGUACGACCGCAAGGUUGAAACUCAAAGGAAUUGACGGGGACCCGCACAAGCGGUGGAGCAUGUGGUUUAAUUCGAAGCAACGCGAAGAACCUUACCAAAUCUUGACAUCCUUUGACAACUCUAGAGAUAGAGCUUUCCCCUUCGGGGGACAAAGUGACAGGUGGUGCAUGGUUGUCGUCAGCUCGUGUCGUGAGAUGUUGGGUUAAGUCCCGCAACGAGCGCAACCCUUAAGCUUAGUUGCCAUCAUUAAGUUGGGCACUCUAAGUUGACUGCCGGUGACAAACCGGAGGAAGGUGGGGAUGACGUCAAAUCAUCAUGCCCCUUAUGAUUUGGGCUACACACGUGCUACAAUGGACAAUACAAAGGGCAGCGAAACCGCGAGGUCAAGCAAAUCCCAUAAAGUUGUUCUCAGUUCGGAUUGUAGUCUGCAACUCGACUACAUGAAGCUGGAAUCGCUAGUAAUCGUAGAUCAGCAUGCUACGGUGAAUACGUUCCCGGGUCUUGUACACACCGCCCGUCACACCACGAGAGUUUGUAACACCCGAAGCCGGUGGAGUAACCUUUUAGGAGCUAGCCGUCGAAGGGGAUCU
rnacentral:rRNA from 1 species